rnacentral:rRNA from 1 species
GAUCUGGCUCAGGACGAACGCUGGCGGCGUGCUUAACACAUGCAAGUCGAACGAAGAGCGAUGGAAGCUUGCUUCUAUCAAUCUUAGUGGCGAACGGGUGAGUAACGCGUAAUCAACCUGCCCUUCAGAGGGGGACAACAGUUGGAAACGACUGCUAAUACCGCAUACGAUCCAAUCUCGGCAUCGAGACUGGAUGAAAGGUGGCCUCUAUUUAUAAGCUAUCACUGAAGGAGGGG